AGCGAACGCUGGCGGCAGGCUUAACACAUGCAAGUCGAGCGGGCACUUUCGGUUUUCAGCGGCGGACGGGUGUGUAACGCGUGGGAACGUGCCCUCUGUUUCGGAAUAACUCAGGGAAACUUGAGCUAAUACCGGAUACGCCCUUUUGGGGAAAGGCUUGCUGCCUGAGGAUCGGCCCGCGUCUGAUUAGCUAGUUGGUGAGGUAACGGCUCACCAAGGCGACGAUCAGUAGCUGGUCUGAGAGGAUGAUCAGCCACACUGGGACUGAGACACGGCCCAGACUCCUACGGGAGGCAGCAGUGGGGAAUAUUGGACAAUGGGCGAAAGCCUGAUCCAGCCAUGCCGCGUGAGUGAUGAAGGCCUUAGGGUUGUAAAGCUCUUUUAUCCGGGACGAUAAUGACGGUACCGGAGGAAUAAGCCCCGGCUAACUUCGUG
rnacentral:rRNA from 1 species